AACGUAGGUGGCAAGCGUUAUCCGGAUUCACUGGGCGUAAAGCGCACGCAGGCGGCCUGUCAGGUAGGGCAUGAAAGCUCCCGGCUUAACUGGGAGUAGCUGUCCUAAACCGGCGGGCUUGAGGAUGGGAGAGGGAAGCGGAAUUGCCGGUGUAGUGGUGAAAUGCGUAGAGAUCGGCAGGAACACCCGUGGCGAAAGCGGCUUCCUGGCCCACUCCUGACGCUCAGGUGCGAAAGCUAGGGGAGCGAACGGG
rnacentral:rRNA from 1 species